rnacentral:rRNA from 1 species
UACAGGGGGUGCAAACGUUGCUCGGAAUUAUUGGGCGUAAAGCGCGCGUAGGCGGCCACUUAAGUCGGAUGUGAAAGCCCCUGGCUCAACUGGGGAAGUGCACCCGAAACUGAGCGGCUUGAAUGCAAAAGAGGGUCGCGGAAUUCCCGGUGUAGAGGUGAAAUUCGUAGAUAUCGGGAGGAACACCGGUGGCGAAGGCGGCAUCCUGGACCGACACUGACACUGAGGAGCGAAAGCCAGGGGAGCAAACGGG